UGGGGAAUAUUGGACAAUGGGCGCAAGCCUGAUCCAGCCAUGCCGCGUGAGUGAUGAAGGCCUUCGGGUUGUAAAGCUCUUUCGCGAGGGACGAUAAUGACGGUACCUCGACAAGAAGCCCCGGCUAACUUCGUGCCAGCAGCCGCGGUAAUACGAAGGGGGCUAGCGUUGUUCGGAAUCACUGGGCGUAAAGCGCACGUAGGCGGACGAUUAAGUCAGAGGUGAAAGCCUGGAGCUCAACUCCAGAACUGCCUUUGAUACUGGUUGUCUUGAGUUUGGAAGAGGUUGGUGGAACUCCUAGUGUAGAGGUGAAAUUCGUAGAUAUUAGGAAGAACACCGGUGGCGAAGGCGGCCAACUGGUCCAACACUGACGCUGAGGUGCGAAAGCGUGGGGAGCAAA
rnacentral:rRNA from 1 species